rnacentral:rRNA from 1 species
GUAAAGCGCGCGUAGGCGGAUAGAUAAGUCAGAUGUGAAAUCCCCGGGCUCAACCUGGGAACUGCAUUUGAUACUGUCUAUCUAGAGUGUGGUAGAGGUGAGUGGAAUUUCAGGUGUAGCGGUGAAAUGCGUAGAGAUCUGAAGGAACAUCAGUGGCGAAGGCGACUCACUGGGCCAUUACUGACGCUGAGGUGCGAAAGCGUGGGUAGCAAACAGGAUUAGAUACCCUGGUAGUCCACGCCCUAAACGAUGUCAACUAGGUGUAUGGAAUGUAUUUUCUGUGUAUCGAAGCUAACGCGAUAAGUUGACCGCCUGGGGAGUACGGUCGCAAGACUAAAACUCAAAUGAAUUGACGGGGGCCCGCACAAGCGGUGGAGCAUGUGGUUUAAUUCGAUGCAACGCGAAGAACCUUACCUGGCCUUGACAUGUACGGGAGAUAGAAGAGAUUUUAUUGUGCCUUCGGGAACCGUAACACAGGUGCUGCAUGGCU